rnacentral:rRNA from 1 species
CCUACGGGAGGCAGCAGUGAGGAAUAUUGGUCACUGGGCUUACGCCUGAACCAGCCAAGUCGCGUGAGGGAAGACUGCCCUAUGGGUUGUAAACCUCUUUUGUCAGGGAGCAACGCGGGCUCCGUGUCGCCGGACUGAACGUACCUGAAGAAAAAGCAUAGGAUAACUCAGUGCCAGCGGCCGCGGUAAUACGGAGGAUGCGAGCGUUAUCCGGAUUGAGUGGGUUUAAAGGGUGCGUAGGCGGAAUGCCAAGUCAGCGGUAAAAUCGCGGGGCUCAACCUCGCUCCGCCGUUGCAACUGGCGUUCUUGAGUGGGCGAGAAGUAUGCGGAAUGCGUGGUGUAGCGGUGAAAUGCAUAGAUAUCACGCAGAACUCCGAUUGCGAAGGCAGCAUACCGGCGCCCAACUGACGCUGAAGCACGAAAGCGUGGGUAUCGAACAGGAUUAGAUACCCUUGUAGUC